rnacentral:tRNA from 1 species
GAGGGUAUAGAUCAAGUGGUAGAGCACAUCCCUAGCAUGCAUGAGGUCCUGGGUUCAAUCCCCAGUACCUCCU